rnacentral:rRNA from 1 species
UACGUAGGGUGCGAGCGUUGUCCGGAAUUAUUGGGCGUAAAGAGCUCGUAGGCGGUGUGUCACGUCGGCCGUGAAAACCUGCAGCUUAACUGUGGGCGUGCGGUCGAUACGGGCAUCACUGGAGUUCGGCAGGGGAGACUGGAAUUCCUGGUGUAGCGGUGAAAUGCGCAGAUAUCAGGAGGAACACCAAUGGCGAAGGCAGCACUCUGGGGACGUGA